UACGUAGGGUCCGAGCGUUGUCCGGAAUUACUGGGCGUAAAGAGCUCGUAGGCGGUUUGUCGCGUCUGCCGUGAAAGUCCGGGGCUCAACUCCGGAUCUGCGGUGAGUAUGGGCAGACUAGAGUGAUGUAGGGGAGACUGGAAUUCCUGGUGUAGCGGUGAAAUGCGCAGAUAUCAGGAGGAACACCGAUGGCGAAGGCAGGUCUCUGGGCAUUAACUGACGCUGAGGAGCGAAAGCAUGGGGAGCGAACAGG
rnacentral:rRNA from 1 species